rnacentral:rRNA from 1 species
AUCGAACGCUGGCGGCAGGCCUAACACAUGCAAGUCGAACGAGUGGCGGACGGGUGAGUAAUGUCUGGGAAACUGCCCGAUGGAGGGGGAUAACUACUGGAAACGGUAGCUAAUACCGCAUACCAUCGGAUGUGCCCAGAUGGGAUUAGCUAGUAGGUGGGGUAACGGCUCCCCUAGGCGACGAUCCCUAGCUGGUCUGAGAGGAUGACCAGCCACACUGGAACUGCGACACGGUCCCGACUCCUACGGGAGGCGGCGGUGGGGAGUAUUGCACAGUGGGCGCAAGCCUGAUGCAGCAAUGCCGCGUGUAUGAAGAAGGCCUUCGGGUUGUAAGGUACUUUCAGCGAGGAGGCGUUACACAAGGGAGAAGCACCGGCUAACUCCGUGCCAGCAGCCGCGGUAAUUC